rnacentral:tRNA from 1 species
AGCGAGGUAGGGAAGUCAGGAGUUCCCGUCGGGCUCAUAACCCGGAGAUCGCUGGUUCAAAUCCAGCUCUCGCUA